UUCCUACGGGAGGCAGCAGUGAGGAAUAUUGGACAAUGGGCGGGAGCCUGAUCCAGCCAUGCCGCGUGCAGGAAGACUGCCCUAUGGGUUGUAAACUGCUUUUGUACAGGAAGAAACACUCCCUCGUGAGGGAGCUUGACGGUACUGUAAGAAUAAGGAUCGGCUAACUCCGUGCCAGCAGCCGCGG
rnacentral:rRNA from 1 species